AAUCACCAAAAAGUUAUUACAAAUAAAAGUAAAUUUCCUUCUUAUUCCUGACAGGCAUUAUCUAGUUCCUUUCCCCUGAAACAACUAGCAGUAUCAGUUUUCUGUGUAUCCAUAUCGAUGGUAACGUUUUAAAUCCAGGUUGGAGUGCACUGAGAUCAUGGCUCACUGCAGCCUCGAACUCCUGGGCUCAAGUGAUCCUCCUGCCUCAGCCUCCCAAGCAGCUAGGACUACAGGCAUGCACCACCGUACCCAUGCCCAGAUCCAUUUUUCACCCUACCUGGCAAUCUCAAAAGAAGUCCAAAGUUGAUCAUAUGCAUGUGCCCCAGAUGAAGGAAACCGAAUCUGUUCACAUAGAGUGCAGUAUUACCGUUGCCAUUUCAUAAUGGCUCUAAAAAACUUUGCUCUUCAUGACUUCGCAAGCUCUUGCAACCCCUUCCAAUAAACAUUCUUUU
rnacentral:sRNA from 1 species